AAAAAAAAAAAAGAAAUUUUAGAAACUGGAAUGUACACAUUUUCUUGUUUUCGAUAUUUCCUGAUAAUUGGAGGAAAAAGCUAAAACCUCUGGCAACAUGUAUUUACUGGAAAACAUGUAUUUGAGAGUAUCAGGCGUCCAAGAAAGGUAUAACAAAUACGCGUAUAAUACGCCUAAGACGAUAUACGGUAUGCUACUCUCCAUACACUUUUUGGUCUGCACAAGGAGAAAACAUACACUCAAUUCAAUAUGAACUUUUUUGAUUCUGCACAAGAAGUUGUAAAACUGCUAAACAAAAACUCACAAUUUCAGCUUUUGGAGCUACAACCAUUAGAGUGUAAAAGGGUAAAACAGCGGUUGUUCCAACCGCAAAUACACUGCUUGCAAUCUGAGAAGUAGCUAUCCCUGCACAAGAACAUGUUAUGUCUCUGUCCUACUUUCAAUUUAAACAUUGAAGAGCUAUAGAUUCUAGACAUAUAUCAAGCCUCUUUUUGGUUUAUAAUGUUUCAGUUAAGAGACAUUACAUGAAGCUCGUACACCAGAGGAUUUCUUUUGAACAAGAGAGGACGAGUUCGAUGAAACAUUAGGGAAAAGUGCGAUUUUUGAUCCUCCGAUAAAGCUCCAACGAUUCUGAAGUCGAAUACUUGACGAACCAACGCAUAGUUUAGACUUGACAUUGCUGAGAGAAAGACUUGUUAUCGAGCUCUUAGCUGAAAUGUUGCGAUUCAUCAUCUGAAUCACCAAACAAAAUGAAUCAAUCUGAUGAAAUAUAAAAAACUUCUUUAUUUCUUAAAAUUUAGGAAUCUGAGACCAAAAGCACUUUGAUCUGAACAACAACGAAUCAGGAACAGAGUUAGGUUCUGUAACAGGGACCCAUGAGGAGUAAAUUCAACUUCUUUAAUGUCUGCGUCAAUUCGAUCUGAUUCAAAGGAUAAAACUUUAAGGUUACCCAUAAGGAAUCUGAACUAUUCGAAAUUGUAGAAAGCUCGACAUAAGAAUCUAAUCCGACAAUCUCCAACAACUGUACAUACAUACAUACAUACAUACAUACAUGAUACAUACAUACAUACAUACACACACAUAGAUAUAGACAUAUAUCUGCGUAUACCGAAAAUUGGAGAAGAAUUGAAAAAGGAAGAGAAAAGGUAGAUACCGAGAGAGAUGAAGAAGACAAAGGCUGGGAAAUGCAAGAAGAUAAAGCCAUCUGCGAUUCAAAUCUUCAAUAGUCUUUGCCAGAAUUUGGCCAUUCAUUACCUUCUUCAACGAGCUCUCUCCAUAUAUAUAUGUAAAGUAUCAAUUUUUAGAGAGGAGAGUUGAGAGUUUUCCACUGGUUGAAAAGGGUAAGUGGAGAAGAAGCUAAGAGAAAAAGUGCUCACUCACUCUUUCUUCAUCAGUGUGGACAAUUAUAGUUGCUCAUCCACCCGAAUUUUUUAAAAAAGUUUUGGUCUUUUUUAGUUUUCCUCGUUUACUUCUGUUUCGCAUAAACAAAAAAAAAAGAAAAAACCAUUAUGAGUUUGAGUUAAUUUUAAAGAGAAAAUCAAAUUUAAAGAUUCUUUAUAUUGUAUGUUCAAAAUUGCAAUAUAUUAUGGAAAAAAAGAGAAGAUUUUUUCCUAAUUUUAGAUAAAAACCUUUAAUAAAAAUCAAAAAAUUAUUAAGAUAUUAAUUUAACCUUAUAUUUUAGAUAUUGUUCUUUUUCUGGUCAAUAUAAAAAAUUACAGUUUACCAUUCUUAUAUAAAAAAAAAUUAAUUAGACUCAAAUGGAAUGUUUUUAUUUUUUUAACAAGAAUAUAACUUUCAUAGAACCUAAUACCCAAAAAAAAAACAUUUGACCCGACUAAAUUAAAAUUCAAGGAAAGAUUGGAGCUUUGAUCCUUUACUCGAUAAAAAAAAGGUUCUUCAUUGUAUGAUCAAAUGACUUGUCGGAUUGUAUUUGUAGGUGGCUCAUCGUAGGAUUAAUAGCUUCUCGGAUUUUGUUAUCCUUGUCUUGUGUUUUGCUUUUUCCGUGAAGAUCAAAAUUUUCUUCUAUACAUUCCUGCUAUAUAUUCCAUCAUGUUCUACCGGUUACACUUAUAAGCCUAUAAGGAUAUCUAAUCUACUUUUUUAUUUGAUAAAAACCUAAUAUCUUUGUUAAUGGAUAUUUGUGCUUAAACUGAAUUUAGACACAACACAGGUCUAGUUCAGGACAGAACAAGACAAAAGUGACAGUGCUACUUCUACUCAGCAGUGGUUGUGACUUCCUCUAAAGACAAAAGUUGGUGUUUCCACCAUUAUUUCGGUUUUGCUUUUAUUAUAUAUUUUAUUUUAAUUUAUUUUUCGCUACAUGAGAAUUGCAUUAACGAAGGACAUUAUAUAUGAAAACAAAAAAAAACAAUAAAAAGAUAUACAUACAUGUGUCUGACACUCAUUGUUUGUGAAAUCAGUUGGGAGUAAGAUAGCGCUUGAGUGGGCUAUUUGGUAUGAUAGCUUCUCUCUAUUGAUGGGCCUUAUUGACCCACCCCACUUCAGUUUUGUUUAGUCAUUCACAACAAGAAAAACAUGAAAACAAAAGCAACACUUGUCUUUUCUAUCUCUCAAUCUGUAAGUGGUAUAUGCGCAUUUCGUUGAAUUCGAUUGAGACCAAAACUCUUUUAAAACAUAAUGUAUAGUUCUUAGGAUUAUAUGGGGAAAAUAUAUGAUGUCUCAAAGAUUUUUCAUAACAUAUUAUAUUCCUUAUAAUAAAAGGUCACCUGGGGUUUUUCUAUAAACCGGGGUUUUUUUAUAAACCGCCGGCUUUUCUAUAAACCGCCGGCUUUGUCUCUGGAGAUGUUGUAUCAUCUGCCGGCUUUGUGUAAUCCGUUGGCUUUGCUCUGUAACACUAUGGUGAUCAAUAUAAUAAUAUUCAAUGAAAAAAAAAAAAGGUCACCUAAAUAAUUAAAAAUUUGAAUUUUUACGACUCAUAUUUCUAUCCUAUUCCAAAGCUAGGAAAACAACAUAAAGAGUUACAAAUUCUUACUAUAUAGUACUUCCAACAAUAUCUUUAUGUAAAUUUGUGCCAAGUCAUUUUGAGUGGAAAAUGUAGAAUAUAUGAUCCACAAGAUCCUUGAAUAUACUUGGGUAUAUAGAAAUAAAAAUGAAUAUCCGAGACUCUUAUCUACAAGCCUAUCCUUAAGAAGGCACGUCCACGAAUGUUUCUAUCACAGAUUUUCAGUGGGCCAUCAUCUAUUACUUCAAGAUAUUGUUCUAAAAAUGCAUCUCAACCUCAAGCUUACUAAUCAUGUGACAAAAGUGAUAAUGUGAAUCUAGUUUUUCAAAUAAUUUCUUUAUUCAAUGACGACUAAUCAAAGAGUUGGUAUAUUUUUGUAUUCACAGUUCUUCAACUUUGUAUAUUUUCAUAUCUUGAGCCGCAUUGUAAUUUGUUUUUUCUUAUAUGCAAAAUUCAAAAUCAAAGAUUUAUAGAACAUUACAUAUUUAUUUCAUCAGACAUUUGAGAAUCCGAUAGAAAAUGUCUCGCAAACCGGAAAACAAACGUUAAAUCCGGAAAUUAAAACAAAACUAAGGAAACCAAAAAAAAAAAAGCAGAUGAUAAAAUCAAAGGUGAGGAGGGAGAUAAAGUUUUUUUUUUUUGAUGUUUACACAAAGCAAAGAAGCAGUGAAAUUAAGCAUCGGUGAAGCUUGCUGGCUUGUAGGCGAUGAAACUGAUGCACUGGACUUGACGGGUGUUGUCGAAUCCGAUGAUCCUAAUGAAGGCCUGGGGGUACUCCUUCUUGCACUCUUGCACUUCCUUCAACACUUGAGCUGAGUCAGUGCAUCCGAACAAAGGAAGCUUCCACAUUGUCCAGUACCGUCCAUCGUAGUAUCCGGGAGUGCUUCCGUGCUCACGGUGCACAAAUGCGUUCUACAAAAACACAUUACACAAAACCAUUCAAAAACAUAAAUCAAGAUUCUGCUUAGGACCUCUAAAUAGUUAUUAACUUGAUUGCAAGAUUCAUAUGGUCCAAGAGAUCAAGCUACUCUAUAAAUGAUUUUUAUUACCUCCAACUCGAAUUCAACACAGGGAAUCCACUUGUUGCGGAGAAGGUAGUCAACUUCCUUAGCCAAUUCAACUUCGGUUAGGUCAGGAAGGUAAGAGAGAGUCUCAAACUUCUUCUUACCAAUAGGAGGCCACACCUAUUUUUUGCCAUUUUUCCAAAAUCAACAAAAACAAUAUUAGUUUAUAUGAUUCGAUAAAUCAAAAACCCAUAAAUUUGUUUUUGGUAUAAGAGAUUUGACCUGCAUGCAGUUAACUCUUCCGCCGUUGCUUGCGAUGGAAGUAAUGUCGUUGUUGGCCUUACGGGUCACAGGGAAAGCAGCGGAGGACUUAAGUCCGGUGAAAGGUGCGACCAUUGUGGCCUGAGCCGGAGAAGCGACCAUUGUAGCGGAAGAGAGCAUAGAGGAAGCCAUAUUGCCUUUACUCUUUUU
rnacentral:lncRNA from 1 species